rnacentral:tRNA from 1 species
UUGAUAAGCGUGAGGUCGGAGGUUCAAGUCCUCCCAGGCCCACCA